UGGGGAAUAUUGGACAAUGGGGGCAACCCUGAUCCAGCCAUGCCACGUGAGUGAUGAAGGCCUUCGGGUUGUAAAGCUCUUUUGGCGGGGACGAUGAUGACGGUACCCGCAGAAUAAGCCCCGGCUAACUUCGUGCCAGCAGCCGCGGUAAGACGAAGGGGGCAAGCGUUGUUCGGAAUUACUGGGCGUAAAGGGCGCGUAGGCGGUUUGCUUAGUCAGGCGUGAAAGCCCUGGGCUUAACCUGGGAUGUGCGCUUGAUACUGGCAGGCUUGAGUGUGGGAGAGGUUGGUGGAAUUCCCAGUGUAGAGGUGAAAUUCGUAGAUAUUGGGAAGAACACCGGUGGCGAAGGCGGCCAACUGGACCACAACUGACGCUGAGGCGCGAAAGCGUGGGGAGCAAACA
rnacentral:rRNA from 1 species